rnacentral:rRNA from 1 species
GACAGAGGAUGCAAGCGUUAUCCGGAAUGAUUGGGCGUAAAGCGUCUGUAGGUGGCUUUUUAAGUCUGCCGUCAAAUCCCAGGGCUUAACCCUGGACAGGCGGUGGAAACUACCAAGCUGGAGUACGGUAGGGGCAGAGGGAAUUUCCGGUGGAGCGGUGAAAUGCGUAGAGAUCGGAAAGAACGCCGGUGGCGAAAGCGCACGACUGGACCUCUCCUGACGCUGAGGCGCGAAAGCCAGGGGAGCAAACGGG